GGGGAUGUUCUGGCUUCGACGCUGGUAAUGAAACUCAAUGAGGCAUGUCGAGAGAGUAUGUCCUCUCGUAAAUCAAAUAUACAUUAAACUAGUCGCAAACGACGAAACUUACGCUCUAGCAGCCUAAGGGCUGUUUGGGUCGCCACUGAUUGUCUUUGGUCAGGUUGGUCACCCCGAAGCGAACGUACAAAGAAUCGGUCAAUACGUUGUCUUGCCGUAUUGGCUUAAAUCUUAAAGACUCGCCCUUGCUAUCCUGACUGUCGGUUCAGUAAGGGUUAAAGCCAUAGACAGAAUCUAAACAUGUAGAUUCAUGAGCGUAGUGCUGGCGGACGCGGGUUCAACUCCCGCCAUCUCCACCA
rfam:Moraxella atlantae strain CCTG 59586 contig_30, whole genome shotgun sequence.